GAUGAAGAACGCAGCAAAAUGCGAUACUUGGUGUGAAUUGCAGAAUCCCGUGAACCAUCGAGUCUUUGAACGCAAGUUGCGCCCGAAGCCAUCAGGUUGAGGGCACGUCUGCCUGGGCGUCACAUAUCGUUGCCCAAUGCCUAUUGCAGUGCAAUAGGAAUUUCUAGGGCGAAUGAUGGCUUCCCGUGAGCGUUGUUGCCUCGCGGUUGGUUGAAAAUCGAGUCCUUGGUAGGGUGUGCCAUGGUAGAUGGUGGUCGAGUUAGAACGAUACCGAUCAUGUGCAUGCUCCCCAAAAUAUGGCCUCUAUGACCCACACGCGUCUUUUGACGCUCAUGACGAGACCUCAGGUCAGGCGGGGCUACCCGCUGAAUUUAAGCAUAUCAAUAAGCGGAGGA
rnacentral:misc_RNA from 1 species